rnacentral:rRNA from 1 species
UGGGGGAUAUUGCACAAUGGAGGAAACUCUGAUGCAGCAACGCCGCGUGAAGGAUGAAGGUCUUCGGAUUGUAAACUUUUGUACUUGGGGACGAUAAUGACGGUACCCAAGCAGCAAGCUCCGGCUAACUACGUGCCAGCAGCCGCGGUAAUACGUAGGGAGCAAGCGUUGUCCGGAUUUACUGGGUGUAAAGGGUGCGUAGGCGGCUAUGCAAGUCAGUUGUGAAAACUAUGGGCUCAACCCAUAGCCUGCAAUUGAA